UGCGUAGGGUGCGAGCGUUGUCCGGAAUUAUUGGGCGUAAAGAGCUCGUAGGCGGUUUGUCGCGUCUGCUGUGAAAAUCCGGGGCUCAACCCCGGACUUGCAGUGGGUACGGGCAGACUAGAGUGUGGUAGGGGAGACUGGAAUUCCUGGUGUAGCGGUGAAAUGCGCAGAUAUCAGGAGGAACACCGAUGGCGAAGGCAGGUCUCUGGGCCACUACUGACGCUGAGAAGCGAAAGCAUGGGGAGCGAACAGGAUUAGAUA
rnacentral:rRNA from 1 species